rnacentral:misc_RNA from 1 species
AUCGACAACCAUGACUACAUGGUCAAGAUGAAGAACGUGAACAAGUUCAUUGACAAUGGCGACAAGGUAAAGGUCACCCUGCGUUUUCGUGGCCGCGAAAUGUCGCACCAGCAGCUCGGCAUGCAGCUGCUCGAGCGGGUCCAGGAAGACAUGAAGGAAACCGCAAAAGUCGAAGCUUACCCCAAGCUUGAAGGCCGCCAGAUGCUGAUGGUACUCAGUCCCAAAUAGACUUUGGGUCGGUCAGCACCGGUCACAUUAUCAAAUUCCAGGAAAAUGGCGUCAUCCGCUUUCAAACAGGGAUGACGCCAUUUUUCUA